ACAAGCGGUGGAUGAUGUGGAUUAAUUCGAUGCAACGCGAAAACCUUACCUACCUUGACAUGUCCGGAAUCCUGCAGAGAUGCGGGAGUGCCGAAAGGGAAUCGGAACACAGGUGCUGCAUGGCUGUCGUCAGCUCGUGUCGUGAGAUGUUGGGUUAAGUCCCGCAACGAGCGCAACCCUUAUCAUUAGUUGCUACGCAAGGGCACUCUAAUGAGACUGCCGGUGACAAACCGGAGGAAGGUGGGGAUGACGUCAAGUCCUCAUGGCCCUUAUGGGUAGGGCUUCACACGUCAUACAAUGGUCGGUACAGAGGGUUGCCAAGCCGCGAGGUGGAGCCAAUCCCAGAAAGCCGAUCGUAGUCCGGAUUGUUCUCUGCAACUCGAGAGCAUGAAGUCGGAAUCGCUAGUAAUCGCGGAUCAGCAUGUCGCGGUGAAUACGUUCCCGGGUCUU
rnacentral:rRNA from 1 species